UGACCAUCAGUGACCAGAGUGACCAUCAGUGACCAUCAGUGACCAUCACUGACCAUCACUGACCACCACUGACCAUCACUGACCAUCACUGACCAGAGUGACCAUCACUGACCAUCACUGACCAUCACUGACCAUCACUGACCAUCAGUGACCAUCACUGACCAUCACUGACCAUCACUGACCAUCAGUGACCAUCACUGACCAUCACUGACCAUCACUGACCAUCAGUGACCAUCAGUGACCAGAGUGACCAUUACUGACCAUCAGUGACCAUCAGUGACCAUCACUGACCAUCACUGACCAUCACUGACCACCACUGACCAUCACUGACCAUCACUGACCAUCAGUGACCAUCAGUGACCAGAGUGACCACUGACCAUCACUGGCCAUUACUCUGGGCUGUACUGGGAGCACUGGGAUCCCUCAGAUCCCAGACUGGAGCGUCCCAGGUGUGUCCAGGUGUGUCCCCAGGUGUGUCCAGGUGUCCCCAGGUGUGUCCCCAGGUGUCCCCAGGUGUAUCCAGGUGUAUCUCAGGUGUCCCCAGGUGUGUCACAGACCUGCAGCAGCAGGUGACAGAUCUCCAGGUGUCCUUUCUGCGCGGCCGCGUGCAGCGCCGAGCGCUUG
rnacentral:lncRNA from 1 species